CAGGAAAAUCGGCAAAGUGAACAGUGAAAUCGACAAAUUGAGCACGAAAAUCGGCAAAUUGAAAAAAGAAACCAACGAAAAGAAAAAACGUAAUCAAGAGAAGUUUAAAGAAUAUGAAAAGAAAAUGGAAUGUGAAGUAAACAAAGAGAAGCUGACAUGGUUAGGUUGAAAGAGGAAUUGACAAAGACGCUGGCUGAAGAAAAGAAAAAACACGAUUCAGAAAUAAAGGACGUGUUGUUAAGGUUGAGUAAAGUUACAGGAGGAAACCUAACGUUAGGAAAUCCGAAUAUUGCUGA